GGGGUUGUAGCUCAGUGGUAGAGUGCUUGCCUAGCAUGUGUGAGGCACUGGGUUCAAUUCUCAGCACCA
rnacentral:tRNA from 1 species